AGAUAAUGAGGGCGACAUCCGUCACCCUAUUGAUCACCAGGGUUGAUUCAGCGGAUCUGGCUAGCUAGACAGGUGUCCCCUUCCUCACCACUCCAUGUGCAUCCCUCUUAAAGCUAUGCACUCAGUGGAAGAGGACACCUAUCCCCAACAGAGGAAGACCACUCUUCAGUAAAGGGUAUACCAGUAGCUGCACUCCCCUGCUAGAACCUCCAAACAAGCUCUCAAGGUCCAUUUUUAAGAAAACAUAUGGUAGUCAUGCCUCCGAGAUUCCAGACACUCCAAAUGAGUUGUUGCAUGUGGCAGUCUGCCUUUCUUU
rnacentral:snRNA from 1 species